GGUUAAGUGACUAAGCGUACAGGGCGGAUGCCUUGGCAAUCAGAGGCGAUGAAGGACGUGCUAAUCUGCGAAAAGCUUGGAUGAGUCGAUAAGAGGCGUUUAAUCCAAGAUAUCCGAAUGGGGAAACCCAGUAGAUGAAGAAUCUACUAUCAAUAAAUGAAUACAUAGUUUAUUGAGGCGAACCGGGAGAACUGAAACAUCUAAGUACCCCGAGGAAAAGAAAUCAACCGAGAUUCUGUGAGUAGCGGCGAGCGAAAGCGGAAGAGCCAGUAAGUUUUAGCUAGCAUAUUAGAGGAAUUGGCUGGGAAGCCAAAUCAAAGAGGGUGAUAAUCCCGUACUCGAAAGUAUGUUAGUGGAACUAAGCUUACGAUAAGUAAGGCGGGACACGAGAAAUCCUGUUUGAAGAUGGGGGGACCAUCCUCCAAGGCUAAAUACUCCUGAUUGACCGAUAGUGAACCAGUACUGUGAAGGAAAGGCGAAAAGAACCCCGGUGAGGGGAGUGAAAUAGAACCUGAAACCCUGUACGUACAAGCAGUAGGAGCGAGGGCAACCUUGUGACUGCGUACCUUUUGUAUAAUGGGUCAGCGACUUAUAUUUUGUAGCGAGGUUAACUGAAUAAGGGAGCCGAAGGGAAACCGAGUCUUAACUGGGCGUUGAGUUGCAAGGUAUAGACCCGAAACCCGGUGAUCUAGCCAUGGGCAGGUUGAAGGUUGGGUAACACUAACUGGAGGACCGAACCGACUAAUGUUGAAAAAUUAGCGGAUGACUUGUGGCUGGGGGUGAAAGGCCAAUCAAACCGGGAGAUAGCUGGUUCUCCCCGAAAUCUAUUUAGGUAGAGCCUUGAGCGGACACCUUCGGGGGUAGAGCACUGUUUCGGCUAGGGGUCCAUCCCGGAUUACCAACCCGAUGCAAACUGCGAAUACCGAAGAGUGAUACUCAGGAGACACACGGCGGGUGCUAACGUUCGUCGUGGAGAGGGAAACAACCCAGACCGCCAGCUAAGGUCCCAAAGUCUAUAUUAAGUGGGAAACGAAGUGGGAAGGCUUAGACAGCUAGGAUGUUGGCUUAGAAGCAGCCAUCAUUUAAAGAAAGCGUAAUAGCUCACUAGUCGAGUCGGCCUGCGCGGAAGAUGUAACGGGGCUCAAAUAUAGCACCGAAGCUGCGGCAUCAGAAUUUAUUCUGUUGGGUAGGGGAGCGUUGUGUAAGCGGAUGAAGGUGGCUCGAGAGGGUUGCUGGACGUAUCACAAGUGCGAAUGCUGACAUAAGUAACGAUAAAACGAGUGAAAAACUCGUUCGCCGGAAGACCAAGGGUUCCUGUCCAACGUUAAUCGGGGCAGGGUGAGUCGGCCCCUAAGGCGAGGCUGAAAAGCGUAGUCGAUGGGAAACGGGUUAAUAUUCCCGUACUUGGAUAAACUGCGAUGUGGGGACGGAGAAGGUUAGGUUAGCAGACUGUUGGAUGUCUGUUUAAGGUGGUAGGUGGAAGACUUAGGCAAAUCCGGGUCUUUAUAAACACUGAGAGCUGAUGACGAGGUCUUAAGGGACUGAAGUAACUGAUACCCUGCUUCCAGGAAAAGCCACUAAGCUUCAGGUUUAUCUAAACCGUACUGAAAACCGACACAGGUGGUCAGGUAGAGAAUACUCAGGCGCUUGAGAGAACUCGGGUGAAGGAACUAGGCAAAAUAGCACCGUAACUUCGGGAGAAGGUGCGCUUACAGUAAUUGUAGUCCCUUGCGGAUGAAGGUGAAGUAAGUCGAAGAUACCAGCUGGCUGCAACUGUUUAUUAAAAACACAGCACUCUGCAAACACGAAAGUGGACGUAUAGGGUGUGAUGCCUGCCCGGUGCUGGAAGGUUAAUUGAUGGUGUUAUCGAAAGAGAAGCUCCUGAUCGAAGCCCCAGUAAACGGCGGCCGUAACUAUAACGGUCCUAAGGUAGCGAAAUUCCUUGUCGGGUAAGUUCCGACCUGCACGAAUGGCAUAAUGAUGGCCAGGCUGUCUCCACCCGAGACUCAGUGA
rnacentral:rRNA from 1 species